CGCUGGCGGCGUGCUUAACACAUGCAAGUCGAACGAGGCUUAUCGUGGAAGUUUUCGGAUGGAAACGGAUAUGACCGAGUGGCGGACGGGUGAGUAACGCGUGGGGAACCUGCCCCAUUCCGGGGGAUACCAGUUGGAAACGACUGUUAAUACCGCAUAAGCGCACAGCACCGCAUGGUGGAGUGUGAAAAACUGAGGUGGAAUGGGAUGGCCCGCGUCUGAUUAGCCAGUUGGCAGGGUAACGGCCUACCAAAGCGACGAUCAGUAGCCGGCCUGAGAGGGCGACCGGCCACAUUGGGACUGAGACACGGCCCAAACUCCUACGGGAGGCAGCAGUGGGGAAUAUUGCACAAUGGGGGAAACCCUGAUGCAGCGAACCGCCGCGUGAGUGAAGAAGUAUUUCGGUAUGUAAAGCUCUAUCAGCAGGGAAGAAGAUGACGGUACCUGCACAAGAAGCCCCGGCUAACUACGUGCCAGCCGCAGC
rnacentral:rRNA from 1 species